CUCCCGGUGGCCAAGUUGGCUAAGGCGCGAGACUGUAAUUGUUCUCACCUUCAACAUUCAAAAUUGAGGGUAAAAUAGUAAUCUUGAGAUCGGGUGUUCGAUUCACCCCCGGGAGA
rfam:Pachysolen tannophilus NRRL Y-2460 unplaced genomic scaffold PACTA_scaffold_1, whole genome shotgun sequence.